GCAUAGACAUGGUGAAGAAAGGAGAAUAGGAGGUGCUUCUCUUAAAUACAAGUCUCAUUCUGUGCCAUCCUACAACUGAUUCCUCAAAUGUCUUCUCAAUUUUUUUUACUUUAUUACAACUCAUGGAUCUGUGGGUCUCACUUAGCUCAACAUAGACUGAAGAAAUGUCCAGUUGCAGAACAUUCAGGCAUACGAUGGUGGUGGCAGAACAGAGUUGAAAGAAGGCAUUUGCAGAGACAGGUACAAUGUUAGACAUGCAGUAAUAAGACCUGCCACUAUUUCCCUGUGUGACAGCAUCUUUAUUCCCGCUAACUCAUGUUAUUCUCCCAAUUCUUGGAGAUAGAUAUUUCUACCCCCAAUGUAUUUAUCAAAAACUAAAGACAGAAGUACCAUGUGGAAAAGAUAUUAAAAGUGAAAUUCUAAUAUACACCUAUCUGAAUUCUGUGCUCCCUGUUGUCUUCACUAGACCACUUUCAGAUCAUACGAAUAACUCAACUUCUGCAUUUUGCACAUGAGUAAUAGGAGAUAAUUCAACUCAUGCUUGAAGACUGAAAAAUUAGUUAUGGGUGCAGGUACCUUAAUCCUUUCUUGUCCUUUUUACACCAUAGCAAAGCUAGCCAUUGGUUUAAUUAGUCGAAGGCAAAUCUAAAAAGCAUAUCAGAUACACAAAUUUAAUGUUAUUAAUAAAACUGCUAGUUGCAUAAGUAAAGGAGAAUGAGUCGCUCCUACAGAGCCCGUGUCUUCAAUAUCAUGUUAUGAGGGUUAACUGCUCCUGCCCUCCUAAAAGGCUCUGUGGCACCCAGUCCUAGAGCACUUGGCUAGAGGCUCUUGGCUCCUGAUGUUCGUUAUCUUGGAAGCUGGUACCUUAGGGCCUGGGCCAUUAGUUUCAGAAGGUUAAAAUUCACACAUAUCUUGCAUUUCCUUUUUAUUUUAGGUGGCUUAGAUAAUUGUGAUUCUUGAAUUAAUCAAAAUCACAAAAGUAGACUAAAUCAAAUUUAGUCUUCUUAUUCCCUGUUUCUAAAGCUAUAGUAUUACAGUAAAAAGACAUCUAGAAUUGUGUUUAAAAUACUCUAUCCAGUAUCUAAAACCAUCCAAAAUGUAAAAUUAAAUAGUUUAAAAAAUUUCUUCAAACUACAUAAUUCUAGUCUUUCACAUAUUUUUUCACAUAUUUUCUAGCAUAAAUUUGAUUUAUUUAGAGGAAAACAGCCAUUUUCUGUUUGUUAUUUAAAUAAUUUUGACAAAACUGCUAUCAAAAUACCUUAAAAAAACAACAACCAAAAAAUGAUGUUGGAAUACUGACUUGGGGUCUUCCAAUUCAAAAUGAAAAGGAAAAAAACAGAAACUGGCAUAUGCUUAGAAACACUAAUUGUAGGCUUGGGUUGGUGACUCUUCCUCCCAAAGCAAUAGAACAUUCUUUCUGUUGAAAUAACAAAAUAAUGGCAUUAACAGUUCAUAGUCAUAGUGAAUAAAAAGACAGUGGGAAGAAAUUCCAAGGAGAAUUCCAACAUGCCAAGGUGAAAUGCAAAGAAUGAUGACGGCUCCUUACUUUUCAAAGAUGAGCUUCCCAGUUCUCCUGGGAUAAGUAUUGAAGUGCAUUACACUGGUGGAAUUCCAUACUUAGCCAUAUGUAAAGCUUGCUGAGGAGAGCAAUUACAGAAUCUUACAUAGCAGUUACUCUUGAAUUUUGCUCUCAAAUCUCAUUACUUACCAACUCAGAGUGAGGACACUGCUGUUAGUUGCUAAAAUAAAAGUGCUUUCCGGUCCUGGAAAACCUCUGUGAAAUCCCAGACCCUUGGACCUCAAACAGGUGGCACUCAUGGGAAAUCAAACAUCAAUCCAUCCCUGUCAGUAGAAAGAGGUGGAUGUCCCUGACUGGCUUUGUGAAGAUGAUGGAAUUGUUUCCUUCAUAUCUGCCUUCUUGUGUGCUGGAAAAUUUUACCUUUAGGAGUCACUCUGUCUUAAAAGACUACUGAUUCAAUGUAAAUUCUCCUGGACUCACCACAGGCCAAAUAGGUUUAAUUUCUCUUAUGCUAACUCUGUUAGUGAGUAGAACUGCCUAAAGGGUUGGUUGAGAAGAUGUGGAGAAUACAUAGAGGCUCAGUAUGAAACAGCAAGUGAUGAAAUAGUCAUGUCUGUAGACUGAUGGCAAAGACAAGGGGAACAGGGACUGAAGAAGCUUUGGUGGAGGGUCCGGGAGCAAAGGCACUUACAAGGCUAAUUUUCCAGCUCUGUUUCAAAUCAUUGUUAGUUGACAACUAACAGAAUGUCUUGAAUGAGAAGUAAGUUGUUAAGUCUAAUUUUAUCUAUAAACACCCUAAGAGAAAUGUAUCUUUAUAUUUAUGAUGCUAACGAAAUGAGAAAAUACUCAUCUAACAGACAAUGACAUAAUAUUUACACAUCCUAUGGGAAUCAUUUUAGGUUAACUGAAGUGGAGCUGAACAUAGAUUAGAAAUACUUCUUGUCCAGGGGAUCAGGGGCACUUCCUUUUGUAUUUUAACUAAAUCAACAAUGAACAGUAGAUUUAAUUUCUUGUCCAACCAUGUGAAUUUGGAGAAGUUACUUCUCUUUCAGCUGUUCCCCUCGAGUUAGAUACAUGCUUUGAAGGCAGAGGUUCUGAGUCAAAACAUCACAAGCAAGAGACAUUCUGUCACAGUCCCUCAAGCGCCACCAUGUCUCUGGGCUGGAAUAGCUAUUUGUUUACCAUUCACUGCUGGGCUUCUAAUCAAUAGCCUAAUGACUAACAUCCAGGCACCAAUUUCUGUAAUUGCUUGUUAUUGUAACAACAACAAAAAAACCCCCACAUAUUUUUAAAUGCAGUAGAUAUUAUAAGAUAAUAGAAUAAAAUCACUCUUAUUACCAGAGAUGAGCAGGGUUGGGGGUGGCUGCUAUCAGCACUUGUCUUCUAGUCCUUGCAUCCAAGGAACUGGGCAUGUGAUUGUGAUUAAAAAAAAAAGCAAAACAAAACCAAAACCUGCAUUUUUAGUUCUUUAAUGUUUUACAUUAUAAGACUCUGUCAAUUUUAGAUUACAAAUGACGGACAAAAAGAUCUCUCCUUGUCUUCUUUCUUCUUUGUUUCUAGAAAUGUUUCCUUUAGUCUGGAAAUAUAGGAAUGUGUGUGUGUGUGUGUGUGUGUGUGUGUGUGUGUGUGUGUAUCUCCUUAUCCAAACUUACAAGCACUCUAUGCAACUUGGUAGAAGGAAGACAAAUUUUUAAAAUUACUAUGUUUUAACACUGUUCCAAAUCAAGACUGAGAUGAAGGAAUCACCUUGAGGACUUCUCUCUACCAUUUCUCUAGCUUCUGCACAGGCUGGAUAAGUCUUGCUGAUGAAAUAGUACUUCCCAGGGUUCAGGUAUAGUACAAGGGUUGCAACUUACAAAUUAAAAUGUUCUAGAUUGACGAUCACCACGUGAUCCAGCCUAAGAUCAUGGAGCUAUGAAGAGAUUGGUAGGCAAUGACUAUUGUGAGACACAUCAGAAACCCUACUUCCUAUGGAAGCGAAGAAAGUGAAUGUCAAGAAUCCACGCAAAGAGUAAGUAUUGUAACCUGAAAGUGCAUAUCUAGUUACUCUCUGAAUUAGAUUUGUUGGCAUGUUUAUCAGUAUGCUCCUAGUCUUACUAUUACUGUAAAGCCUGGAGUUGGUGACCUUGGUGGUGACCUCAGCAAAUGUCCUUAAUCUCUCUGAGCUUCCCUUUCAUCAUCUGUAAAAGGGGGAUAAUAACCCUUAAUAAGCAGUAUUGUCAUAAGGAUCUAAGGAGUUACAUAUUAGAGGGCUGAGCACCCAAUCAAUGAAUUGGCGGUUAGCAGUCAGUAAAUAAUAGUAGCCUUGGUUACUGCCAUUUCUCUGAGACCUGGCACAGAGCCUGGCACAUAGAAGGUGUUCAGUAAGUGUGUAUUAAAUAUAUGAGUCUGAUUGCGAACUCUUACAGAAGACUGACUACCUCUUCCCCAGCCCCUCACACAUCCAUUUUUUCCGUGUAGAUGCUUGGCACAUUUAUUGACUCUGUACAUAUUUAUUGGAAACUCAACAAUGAACAAACCCAUUGUCAGCAGUAGUGAAGUUUAGAGCCUGAUGAGCAUCUAGUCUUCACAUUUGCAUUUUUACAGGUGGUAAGGUUGCCAUGCCAUGGCUAUUGUACUUUGCUUUUAAGUCAUUUACAUGAGCCCCCGUCGUGAUCUGUGUUCCAGCGCUGCCUCAAUGUGACUGUUCCUCUUCCUUGUGCUUAUGGAUGGCUAGUAACCUAAAACACUUUCUCCACAAGGGAAAUCCAAAAAGUCGUAUUUGGAAAUGCAUGUGGUGAAUUCUCAACUACAUUACAAGAUCUACCUUUCAAAGACUGGGAAAUUGCCUUGGCACAGCUUUCCUCAGGUGCUGGGAUUGCAGCCCCUGGGAACAGAGCUGAGCUUCAUCGCCAUCUAGUGGUCAGAUAAUGUGGUGCCCAGAUGCAGAGCUUUUAAAGUAUGUGAGGUUUCUUAAGGGAGAUAGAGUUGAAGGGAACUCAGGAGUCACCUGCUCUACUUCCCUUAUUUAUAAAUAAGAAAAAUGAAUCCCUCUACAACAUAUGAACCAAACUCUCUUUUAUAAAGGUUGACUGAAGAACUACCAUCCCAUUUAGUUGCUAUUUCCCUCAACGGUGUAGACUAUGGGGUGUGUGGCUGUGGCUGAACGUUCAAUUUAUGCAGCUAUAUAACCUCUUGUGAACUUGAGUGUUCUUACUUUUAAAAUGAGGAUGACGUAUCGCUUCUUGGCCAUUUGGCUAAGAUCAAGUGUAAAAUGAGGAUGAUGUGGUUGUUCUAAGUAUCAACUUGAAUGAUAGGGUAUGUAAAAGGGCUUUAUAAAUAAUGCAUUGUUAAAAGAAAUCUGUUAAUAUAUUUUUAUUUUUUCACUUUUUUGCUAUGGAAAGAGAUGCAUCUCAUUCAAAACUGCACUUGCUGUUGAAAGCCGCCCGCUCUGGCAUUCAUAGCGAACUUCCAUAACUAUGUAUUGCAUGGCUACUAUGCACAUCACAGGAAGAAAGGACACCAAGACCAAGCGAUCUCAGACUUUACCCUUGAGGAAAUCAGUUUGCUAAUGAAGACAGACAUCUAUGCAUGCAAUGUGUUGUGAUAACAGAUACCACAGUAGAGACUGGUGCCAACUUUAGGGCUUGCACAUAAAAGAAGAGUGUUCAGUACUGCCAAGGCGGGGUAGAAGAGGGUUGCAGGGACAGAAAACACUUUGUGUAGGAAAAAAUAAACUUGGAUUAAAUUUCAAAGAAAAAUGAACUUGAAUUAAUUUCUAUGGUAUACUAAAGAAAUAGAUGAGGAUAGGUAAGAGGUGGAAAUUUUAGAUGCAGAAUGUUAAAAUAUUGAAAAAAAACUAUUUAAAAGGAAUCAUAUCAUCCUGUGGUUAUGAAAAUACUCCAAUUCUGGUAUAUAUGUCUUUAUAACUCAUGGCUACCAUUCCAAACACAUAACAGAUUGAACUGGUUUGGAGCCAGUAUUUCAUAAGUUAUAACCAAAUUUGAUAUAUUUUGUUUCAGUUAUAAAAACUAAAAUUAUUUUAAAUUGUGGAAUAGCAUAUAAUCUAAAGAGCCAAUAGAAAACAAUGAGAAUUGAAUAAUUUUAUGAAACCUCAUCUAGGCUAAUCAUUCCAUUGAUUUAUAUAUGAAAUAUCUAUCCUUCAAUUCUAUGCAUUAACAGCUGUUGGAGUUUUUCCUCCCUCUUUCUCAUUAUAUUGAAUGUUAAAAAAAACAAAGACAAAAACAAAAACAAAACCUUAAUGGCCUAAGAGCUAGGAGUCAUACUUUUUCUUUUCCUUCUGGUCUUCCUUAUCAUCCUCUGACAUUCAGAGAAUUACGUUUAGAAAGAUUGAUUGACAGUCAUCUGUCCACACAUCAUUCAUUCCAAAUGGCUCUCUUCUGGGCCAUCUCAGGGUAAGAACUGUUCAUUAGUCCUUCAAAACAUAUCAGAAAGGACAACUCCAUCAAAAAGACAUUUCCAUGUACAGUGAAAGUUGAAAAUUACAUUCUUCCUAGGUGUGUUUUCCCAUGCUUC
rnacentral:lncRNA from 1 species